CUACGGGUGGCUGCAGUGGGGAAUAUUGGACAAUGGACCAAAAGUCUGAUCCAGCAAUUCUGUGUGCACGAUGACGGUUUUCGGAUUGUAAAGUGCUUUCAACAGGGAAGAAGUUCUGACGGUACCUGUAGAAGAAGCGACGGCUAAAUACGUGCCAGCAGCCGCGGUAAUACGUAUGUCGCAAGCGUUAUCCGGAUUUAUUGGGCAUAAAGGGCAUCUAGGCGGCUUAGUAAGUCUGAUGUGAAAAUGCGGGGCUCAACUCCGUAUUGCGUUGGAAACUACUAAGCUAGAGUAUUGGAGAGGUAGGCGGAACUACAUGUGUAGAGGUGAAAUUCGUAGAUACAUGUAGGAAUGCCGAUGACGGAGGUAGCUUACUGGACAAUUACUGACGCUGAAGUGCGAAAGCUAGGGGAGCAAACAGGAUUAGAUACCCGGGUAGUC
rnacentral:rRNA from 1 species